GAAGCCCCAGUAAACGGCGGCCGUAACUAUAACGGUCCUAAGGUAGCGAAAUUCCUUGUCGGGUAAGUUCCGACCUGCACGAAUGGCAUAAUGAUGGCCAGGCUGUCUCCACCCGAGACUCAGUGAAAUUGAAAUCGCCGUGAAGAUGCGGUGUACCCGCGGCUAGACGGAAAGACCCCGUGAACCUUUACUAUAGCUUGACACUGAACAUUGAAUUUUGAUGUGUAGGAUAGGUGGGAGACUUUGAAGUAGUCACGCCAGUGAUUAUGGAGUCGUCCUUGAAAUACCACCCUUUAACGUUUGAUGUUCUAACGAAGAUUACGAAACGUGGUCUCGGACAGUGUCUGGUGGGUAGUUUGACUGGGGCGGUCUCCUCCCAAAGAGUAACGGAGGAGCACGAAGGUUUGCUAAUGACGGUCGGACAUCGUCAGGUUAGUGCAAUGGUAUAAGCAAGCUUAACUGCGAGACAGACAAGUCGAGCAGGUACGAAAGUAGGUCAUAGUGAUCCGGUGGUUCUGAAUGGAAGGGCCAUCGCUCAACGGAUAAAAGGUACUCCGGGGAUAACAGGCUGAUACCGCCCAAGAGUUCAUAUCGACGGCGGUGUUUGGCACCUCGAUGUCGGCUCAUCACAUCCUGGGGCUGAAGUAGGUCCCAAGGGUAUGGCUGUUCGCCAUUUAAAGUGGUACGCGAGCUGGGUUUAGAACGUCGUGAGACAGUUCGGUCCCUAUCUGCCGUGGGCGUUGGAGAAUUGAUUGGGGCUGCUCCUAGUACGAGAGGACCGGAGUGGACGCACCACUGGUGUUCCGGUUGUGUCGCCAGACGCAUUGCCGGGUAGCUAAGUGCGGAAGAGAUAAGUGCUGAAAGCAUCUAAGCACGAAACUUGCC
rnacentral:rRNA from 1 species